UGGGGGAUAUUGCACAAUGGGAGAAAGCCUGAUGCAGCGACGCCGCGUGGGGGAUGAAGGCUUUCGGGUUGUAAACCUCUUUCGCUAUAGAACAAGGCCCGCUUAGGGUGGGUUGAGGGUAGGUGGAGAAGAAGCGCCGGCUAACUACGUGCCAGCAGCCGCGGUAAUACGUAGGGCGCGAGCGUUGUCCGGAAUUAUUGGGCGUAAAGGGCUUGUAGGCGGCUUGUUGCGCCUGCUGUGAAAACGCGGGGCUUAACUUCGCGCGUGCAGUGGGUACGGGCAGGCUUGAGUGUGGUAGGGGUGACUGGAAUUCCAGGUGUAGCGGUGGAAUGCGCAGAUAUCUGGAGGAACACCGAUGGCGAAGGCAGGUCACUGGGCGGUUACUGACGCUGAGGAGCGAAAGCAUGGGUAGCGAACAAG
rnacentral:rRNA from 1 species